GAUGAACGCUGGCGGCGUGCCUAAUACAUGCAAGUCGAGCGAGCAGACGAGGAGCUUGCUCCUCUGACGUUAGCGGCGGACGGGUGAGUAACACGUGGAUAACCUACCUAUAAGACUGGGAUAACUUUGGGAAACCGGAGCUAAUACCGGAUAAUAUAUUGAACCGCAUGGUUCAAUAGUGAAAGACGGUUUUGCUGUCACUUAUAGAUGGAUCCGCGCCGCAUUAGCUAGUUGGUAAGGUAACGGCUUACCAAGGCGACGAUGCGUAGCCGACCUGAGAGGGUGAUCGGCCACACUGGAACUGAGACACGGUCCAGACUCCUACGGGAGGCAGCAGUAGGGAAUCUUCCGCAAUGGGCGAAAGCCUGACGGAGCAACGCCGCGUGAGUGAUGAAGGUCUUCGGAUCGUAAAACUCUGUUAUUAGGGAAGAACAAAUGUGUAAGUAACUAUGCACGUCUUGACGGUACCUAAUCAGAAAGCCACGGCUAACUACGUG
rnacentral:rRNA from 1 species